rnacentral:tRNA from 1 species
CGCGGGAUGGAGCAGUUGGCAGCUCGUCAGGCUCAUAAUCUGAAGGUCGUAGGUUCGAAUCCUACUCCCGCAACCA